GCCUGGGUGGCUCAGUCGGUUUGGGCAUCUGACUUCGGCUCAGGUCAUGAUCUCACCGUCCAUGGGUUCGAGCCCCGCAUCGGGCU
rnacentral:tRNA from 1 species